GUAGGUGGCAAGCGUUGUCCGGAAUUAUUGGGCGUAAAGCGCGCGCAGGCGGUUCGUUUAAGUCUGAUGUGAAAGCCCACGGGCUCAACCGUGGAGGGUCAUUGGAAACUGGAGAACUUGAGUACAGAAGAGGAAAGCGGAAUUCCACGUGUAGCGGUGAAAUGCGUAGAGAUGUGGAGGAACACCAGUGGCGAAGGCGGCUUUCUGGUCUGUAACUGACGCUGAGGCGCGAAAGCGUGGGGAGCAAACAGGAUUAGAUACCCUGGUAGUCCACGCCGUAAACGAUGAGUGCUAAGCGUUAGGGGGUUUCCGCCCCUUAGUGCUGCAGCUAACGCAUUAAGCACUCCGCCUGGGGAGUACGGCCGCAAGGCUG
rnacentral:rRNA from 1 species